GCCAGUGUGGUGCAGUGGUCUGAAUGAUUGAUUAGGAUUCUGGGAGAUCAGGGUUCAAAUCCCUGCUCAGCCA